GAUGAACGCUGGCGGCGUGCCUAAUACAUGCAAGUCGAGCGAACGGACGAGAAGCUUGCUUCUCUGAUGUUAGCGGCGGACGGGUGAGUAACACGUGGAUAACCUACCUAUAAGACUGGGAUAACUUCGGGAAACCGUAGCUAAUACCGGAUAAUAUUUUGAACCGCAUGGUUCAAAAGUGAAAGACGGUCUUGCUGUCACUUAUAGAUGGAUCCGCGCUGCAUUAGCUAGUUGGUAAGGUAACGGCUUACCAAGGCAACGAUGCAUAGCCGACCUGAGAGGGUGAUCGGCCACACUGGAACUGAGACACGGUCCAGACUCCUACGGGAGGCGGCAGUAGGGAAUCUUCCGCAAUGGGCGAAAGCCUGACGGAGCAACGCCGCGUGAGUGAUGAAGGUCUUCGGAUCGUAGAACUCUGUUAUUAGGGAAGAACAUAUGUGUAAGUAACUGUGCACAUCUUGACGGUACCUAAUCAGAAAGCCACGGCUAACUACGUG
rnacentral:rRNA from 1 species